rnacentral:rRNA from 1 species
AGCAGCCGCGGUAAUUCCAGCUCCAAUAGCGUAUAUUAAAGUUGUUGCAGUUAAAAAGCUCGUAGUUGAAUUUCGGGAUCAAUCUAUCGGUCGUGCAAUAGUACGUACUGAUUUUAUUGAUUCCUCCCUUCUGAUGAACUAUGAUGUCAUUAAUUUGGUGUCAUAGGGAAUCAGGGCUGUUACUUUGAAAAAAUUAGAGUGUUUAAAGCAGGCUCACGCUUGAAUACAUUAGCAUGGAAUAACGAAAUAGGACGUUUGAUUCUAUUUUGUUGGUUUCUAGGAUCGACGUAAUGAUUAAUAGGGAUAGUUGGGGGCAUUAGUAUUCAAUUGUCAGAGGUGAAAUUCUUGGAUUUAUUGAAGACUAACUACUGCGAAAGCAUUUGCCAAGGAUGUUUUCAUUAAUCAAGAACGAAAGUUAGGGGAUCGAAGACGAUCAGAUACCGUCGUAGU